UUUAACAAAGAGAAGCAAAGCCGCGAGGUAGAGCGAAUCUCAAAAAAACAAUCUCAGUUCAGACUGCAGGCUGCAACUCGCCUGCACGAAGUCGGAAUUGCUAGUAAUCGUAGGUCAGCAUACUACGGUGAAUACGUUCCCGGGCCUUGUACACACCGCCCGUCAAACCAUGAGAGUUGGCAACACCCGAAGUCGGUAGUCUAACCGCAAGGAGGACGCCGCCGAAGGUGGGGUUGAUGAUUAGGGUUAAGUCGUAACAAGGUAUC
rnacentral:rRNA from 1 species